UACGUAGGUGGCGAGCGUUGUCCGGAUUUACUGGGCGUAAAGGGAGCGUAGGCGGACUUUUAAGUGAGAUGUGAAAUACCCGGGCUCAACUUGGGUGCUGCAUUUCAAACUGGAAGUCUAGAGUGCAGGAGAGGAGAAUGGAAUUCCUAGUGUAGCGGUGAAAUGCGUAGAGAUUAGGAAGAACACCAGUGGCGAAGGCGAUUCUCUGGACUGUAACUGACGCUGAGGCUCGAAAGCGCGGGGAUCAAACAGGAUUAGAUACCCCGGUAGU
rnacentral:rRNA from 1 species